ACUCCUACGGGAGGCAGCAGUAGGGAAUCAUCCGCAAUGGACGAAAGUCUGACGGUGCAACGCCGCGUGAGUGAUGAAGGUUUUCGGAUCGUAAAACUCUGUUGUUAGGGAAGAACAAGUACCGUUUGAAUAAGGCGGUACCUUGACGGUACCUAACCAGAAAGCCCCGGCUAACUACGUGCCAGCAGCCGCGGUAAUACGUAGGGGGCAAGCGUUGUCCGGAAUUAUUGGGCGUAAAGCGCUCGCAGGCGGUCUUUUAAGUCUGAUGUGAAAGCCCACGGCUCAACCGUGGAGGGUCAUUGGAAACUGGAGGACUUGAGUGCAGAAGAGGAGAGUGGAAUUCCACGUGUAGCGGUGAAAUGCGUAGAGAUGUGGAGGAACACCAGUGGCGAAGGCGACUCUCUGGUCUGUAACUGACGCUGAGGAGCGAAAGCGUGGGGAGCGAACAGGAUUAGAUACCCUGGUAGUCCACGCCGUAAACGAUGAGUGCUAGGUGUUAGGGGGUUUCCGCCCCUUAGUGCUGAAGUUAACGCAUUAAGCACUCCGCCUGGGGAGUACGGCCGCAAGGCUGAAACUCAAAAGGAAUUGACGG
rnacentral:rRNA from 1 species